CCCUGACAGUUACAUACUGUAGCUGACUAACCCAGACAGGAGAUUGACAUG
rnacentral:ncRNA from 1 species